rnacentral:rRNA from 1 species
AGCGAACGCUGGCGGCAGGCUUAACACAUGCAAGUCGAGCGGGCAUCCUUGUGGUGUCAGCGGCAGACGGGUGAGUAACGCGUGGGAACGUGCCCUUCGGUUCGGAAUAACUCAGGGAAACUUGAGCUAAUACCGGAUACGCCCUUUUGGGGAAGGGUUUACUGCCGAAGGAUCGGCCCGCGUCUGAUUAGCUAGUUGGUGAGGUUAUGGCUCACCAAGGCGACGAUCAGUAGCUGGUCUGAGAGGAUGAUCAGCCACACUGGGACUGAGACACGGCCCAGACUCCUACGGGAGGCAGCAGUGGGGAAUAUUGGACAAUGGGGGCAACCCUGAUCCAGCCAUGCCGCGUGAGUGAUGACGGCCUUAGGGUUGUAAAGCUCUUUUCUCCGGGACGAUAAUGACGGUACCGGAGGAAUAAGCCCCGGCUAACUUCGUG